CCUUAGUACGGCGAGUGAAGCGGCAAAAGCUCAAAUUUGAAAUCUGGUACCUUCGGUGCCCGAGUUGUAAUUUGGAGAGGGCAACUUUGGGGCCGUUCCUUGUCUAUGUUCCUUGGAACAGGACGUCAUAGAGGGUGAGAAUCCCGUGUGGCGAGGAGUGCGGUUCUUUGUAAAGUGCCUUCGAAGAGUCGAGUUGUUUGGGAAUGCAGCUCUAAGUGGGUGGUAAAUUCCAUCUAAAGCUAAAUAUUGGCGAGAGACCGAUAGCGAACAAGUACAGUGAUGGAAAGAUGAAAAGAACUUUGAAAAGAGAGUGAAAAAGUACGUGAAAUUGUUGAAAGGGAAGGGCAUUUGAUCAGACAUGGUGUUUUGUGCCCUCUGCUCCUUGUGGGUAGGGGAAUCUCGCAUUUCACUGGGCCAGCAUCAGUUUUGGUGGCAGGAUAAAUCCAUAGGAAUGUAGCUUGCCUCGGUAAGUAUUAUAGCCUGUGGGAAUACUGCCAGCUGGGACUGAGGACUGCGACGUAAGUCAAGGAUGCUGGCAUAAUGGUUAUAUGCCGCCCGUCUUGAAAACCGGACACACA
rnacentral:rRNA from 1 species